GAUUGCAUGAGGUGAGUAAAAGUGGUUGUGUAAAUAUCUUAUAAUAUUAAAUGCGAUGUUCGAUCAUUUAUUUAUCCAUGGUACGUUCAAUUUGAAUAAUUAUUGUUAAUAAUUGUUAUAAAUUGCUCAUUUUAUUGUUCUUUGUGGAUUGUAACAGUACACUCUGUACAUGGCUUUAGUUCUUAGGUUGAUUUUACAGAGGUAUGCCAUUACAUUUGUCAAGUUAUUUGAACAGACAUGCAUGAUUAUUGUGUGUAUAUUAUUAUUAUUAUUUUUCAGGAUGACAUGAUCAGGAGGUGGUGGUGUUCUGUUCUCCUGGACAGCUUCACUCCGCAAAUAGCUCAACCACUGAGGGGAGGAACUUCACCAUUCAAAAGACAGUGUCUUCAGGCAGAGUCCAGCAAAGCAGCUUCCCCUGGAAAUCCUCAGGGAAGUUAUUUGUCAGCGGGUGACUGCAUAUUUGACACUUUCUCUUGUUUGCAGAUGGUUUAGGGAUGUGGUCACUCAAGAAGUUUUCUGGAAAGCGGCACACUUUGCCUGGCUAGACA